CCCUGCCCUUUGUACACACCGCCCGUCGCUACUACCGAUUGAAUGGCUUAGUGAGACCCUCGGAUUGGGUUUUAAGAACCGGCAACGGAUCUUUUCUUCUAAGAAGUUUGUCAAACUUGGUCAUUUAGAGG
rnacentral:rRNA from 1 species